ACUACGGGGGGCUGCAGUGAGGAAUAUUGGUCAAUGGGCGGAAGCCUGAACCAGCCAAGUAGCGUGCAGGAUGACGGCCCUACGGGUUGUAAACUGCUUUUAUACGGGAAUAACGCGCCUUACGUGUAGGGCUUUGCAUGUACCGUAUGAAUAAGGACCGGCUAAUUCCGUGCCAGCAGCCGCGGUAAUACGGAAGGUCCGGGCGUUAUCCGGAUUUAUUGGGUUUAAAGGGAGCGUAGGCCGCAUGUCAAGCGUGCUGUGAAAUGUCCGGGCUCAACCCGGGCCUUGCAGCGCGAACUGGCGUGCUUGAGUCCGCGGAAAGCAGGCGGAAUUCGUCGUGUAGCGGUGAAAUGCUUAGAUAUGACGAAGAACCCCGAUUGCGAAGGCAGCUUGCUGCAGCGGAACUGACGCUGAUGCUCGUAAGCGCGGGUAUCGAACAGGAUUAGAUACCCCGGUAGUC
rnacentral:rRNA from 1 species